UCUAAAAUGACAGAGAGAUGUAUAGGAUUUAAGCUCCUACCAGGAAGGAUUCCCUUCUUUUAGAA
rnacentral:tRNA from 1 species